rnacentral:rRNA from 1 species
UACAGAGGGGGCAAGCGUUAUUCGGAAUUAUUGGGCGUAAAGGGCGCGUAGGCGGCCUGGCAAGUGGAUGGUGAAAUCCCUCGGCUUAACCGAGGAACUGCCAUCCAGACUGCUUGGCUUGAGACCGGGAGAGGUGAGUGGAAUUCUCGGUGUAGCGGUGAAAUGCGUAGAUAUCGAGAGGAACACCUGCGGCGAAGGCGGGUUGCUGGGCUGACACUGACGCUGAGGCGCGAAAGCUAGGGGAGCGAACGGG